CGAAUUACCACUCCAUAUAUAACAAUAGCCUACCUUGAUCUGUGCUCAGUGCAGUGUCUGUCCAUGGUGUGGAAGUCAGAGGGAGACGCAGCAUUAGUUUUCGCGUUCUGCCUGUUAACAGUUUGCAUACAGGGUUAUAACCUACCUUUGCAUAACUUUUACUAAUUUGAGGAGAAUGGCAUUUUAUUUAAUGUGUGCAUAUAAUAAAAAUAAAUGAAUAAUAGGAGACUGAGCAGAACAAGCACAAAACACUAAUAUCUGUCUUUCCUGCAGUUCCAGAGAGAUUUUAAGGGUGAGAUUUCAUGGAACUAUAAAGGAGCCUCACCCAUUUGUCCUCACUGUUUGGCGAGGGGGGCGGGGGAGGGGGGGGGGGGUGCUUGUUUGUUUUAAAGAACAAAUAAACCUGUAGUUCAGAGUGGAAUAUUUUCACUGGGGUGUCAGACAAGUGCCAGUUUCAGCACAAGAGGAGAAAUAAGACCACAUGGCCGGGAACAAAGCAGGGGAGUGAGGCUGCUUCCCCAAUCAGCAGUGGCAAGCUGUCAAACUGGCUCAACUGUUGUGUGAAAUCUCAAGCUAAAAGAGGAUUUAGAUCCUUCAGUAAAGGUGACAGCACUCCAGGGACAUUACUCAUCUGAAGCUAGGAACAAGGAGACCUAAGCCUGGUGCUCCUGAUCCAAAUAACAGUCUUCUCAGCUGAGAGUACUUGUACUGGCACCCAUGGACAUCAUGCUGUACUGACUUCCUGUGAGUACUUGAGAAAACACUUAAAAUCAGGUAUAAAUAAAUGCAAGAAUUAACUGAAUUAACUCA
rnacentral:lncRNA from 1 species